rnacentral:piRNA from 1 species
CCAAAUGUCACACAAUUGCAGAAACCACA